rnacentral:lncRNA from 1 species
AGGGGAAGCAGAAGGCGGAGAGCCCUCCAUCCGAUCAUGAUUCCACCCCCGGAGGGUCCCUACCUCCGUUCCAGCAGAAGACCCUCGAGACUCACAGUCGAGAGGACCUCCUGAAUCAAAGAUUCUAGGAGAUGAACAGAUGGAUCGAAGAGCUCCAUCAUGCUCCCACUGCUUACGGUGAGGAUAUCUGUACUGACCCUCCUUUCUCUCAAAUGAUCAUAACCAAUCUCACCGAACUUCAAGCUCCCUCAAUUUGAAAGCUACGAUGGGACC